GACGAACGCUGGCGGCGCGCUUAACACGUGCAAGUCGAACGGAAAGGCCUGCUUUCCCUUGUGGAUUGCGGGUACUCGCGUGGCGAACGGGUGAGUAACACGUGAGUGAUCUGCCCCCAACUUGGGUAUAAGCCUGGGCAACUGGGUCUAAUUCCCGAUAGGACUGCAGGGUGGUGCCUGUGGUGGCAAACGAUUUUCUAGUAGUUGGGGUUGAGCUCGCGGCCUAUCAGCUUGUUGGUGGGGUAAUGGCCUACCACGGCGGCGACGGGUAGCCGGCCUGGGAGGGUGGACGGCCACAGUGGGACUGAGAUACGGCCCAGACUCCUACGGGAGGCAGCAGUGGGGAAGAUUGCACAAUGGGCGGAAGCCUGAUGCAGCGACGCCGCGUGGGUGAUGACGGCCUUCGGGGUGUAAACUCCUGGCGACCGAGAGGAAGCCACCUGGUUGGAAGGGUGGUGACGGUAGUGGUAGAAGAAGCACCGGCUAACUACGUG
rnacentral:rRNA from 1 species